rnacentral:lncRNA from 1 species
GCUGGUCGCAGGGCUGCGGGACUACAAUCUUCGCUUGAAAUGGGAGAGAGGGUGGUGCGGAUACCUUGAGGAAGGAACCCUACAAGGCCUGUUAGAGAAGAAGGGGUAGAAUCCCGAGAAUGUUUUCCCCACAGUGCUGAUAAGGAGAGACCACUACCCCAUCUACUGCUACAACUCUGGAGACAUAGCUCUGCCAUCUCUCCUAUAGAACACAAGGACCAAUCUGCAGAGAAAGAGCAUCCAAACCUGAUCCAGUGGACACUGGGGAAAAACUCACCACAGCUGAGUGUGGAAAAACAAGGCCAACACACACAUCUCUGCACAGAUACAUCUCCCAUAAAGAAACUAAAGUGUUAAUUUACAGGGCGCUGUUGCAGACCCACUUCAACUGGAAGCUACGAACGUGGACAAGGAGCCUCUCUACCACCGAAGGAGAGACAGGAAUGUGCUCUUGUCCUGGCAUUGCAUCUACAGGAGGGGCAGGAAACUCUUUGAAGGUUUUCAGAUCUCAUGAUUACUUUAUUUUGGAGUUGCCAGACUCAGCAAAUAAAAAUACACGACACACAGUUAAGUUUAAUAUUCAGAAAGAAAACUGUUGCGGGAAGUCAGGGACCCCCAACAGAGGGACCGCCUAAAGCCAUGGCAGAAGAACAAGGAUUGUGAAGAUUUCAUGGACAUUUAUUAGUUCCCCAAAUUAAUACUUUUAUAAUUUCUUAUGCCUGUCUUUACUGCAAUCUCUAAACAUA